GCCAGCGGCCAUAGCACGUUGAAUGCGUCAGUUCCUAACGGUUCACUGAAGUUAAGCAAAGUUGUGUGUGGUGUGGUUAGUAUUCGAAUGGGUGACCGUCUGGACAUUCGCGUGCUGCUGGAU
rnacentral:rRNA from 1 species